rnacentral:SRP_RNA from 1 species
GCUGGGUGUGGUGGCGCACGCCUGUAAUCCCAGCUACUUGGGGGCUGAGGCAGGAGAAUCACCUGAACCCAGGAGGCAGAGGUUGCAGUCAGCCAAGAUCUCACAACUGCACUCUAGCCUGGGUGACAGAGUGAGACUCCGCCUCAA